CUCUCACUUUUCCACUCUCCCUCUCACUUUUCCCCUUUCCCUUAGGGUUCCUACGGAGGAGAGAAAUCCAAAAAUCAAUCCAUGGAGUUGGGGACUGCCGGCGGGAAACUACUCUGACUCUCUGAGGUGUAGAUCCGGUGGAGAGCUGCUCCAAGAUCUACUGGAUCUGACAACGUUGGCUGCAAUUUUGCCUGCCACUAUUCCUUCCUUUUGUAGCACCUUUGUCCAGACCGUGUGUAAAUCAGAUGGAUCUAGCUCAUAUUCAUGUUAUGAGCAUGGGUGAGGAAUACCUCGCACGUUGGGUGUUGAAUUAUUUAUCUGGUGAUGAUCCUGCUGAUGAUCCUAUUGAUGGUCGUAUUGAUGAUCCAUCCUGCUAAUCACUAAGUGAUUAUUAAUUGCACAAGAUUACGUACAUGGUUGACGGAGUUUCUUUUUGGUGGACUUUCUGAUCAUGCGAAUAGGAAAUGUGACUUUUGGACAUGUUAGCACUAGACGAGUGGUAGUAGACUUUUGUGUUCUUCAAAUUAUGAUGUAAACUCAAACCUUAAGUGUAAUGAUAAUUUGGUCUGUUA